rnacentral:rRNA from 1 species
GGCGGGGUCACGCCCCGGGUGCGUAAAAGCCCCGGAACCAGGCGCCCGCCGGAGGAACCAACCAAACUCUUUCUGUAGUCCCCUCGCGGACGUAUUUCUUACAGCUCUGAGCAAAAAUUCAAAAUGAAUCAAAACUUUCAACAACGGAUCUCUUGGUUCUGGCAUCGAUGAAGAACGCAGCGAAAUGCGAUAAGUAAUGUGAAUUGCAGAAUUCAGUGAAUCAUCGAAUCUUUGAACGCACAUUGCGCCCGCCAGUAUUCUGGCGGGCAUGCCUGUCCGAGCGUCAUUUCAACCCUCGAACCCCUCCGGGGGAUCGGCGUUGGGGAUCGGGACCCCUCACCGGGUGCCGGCCCUGAAAUACAGUGGCGGUCUCGCCGCAGCCUCUCCUGCGCAGUAGUUUGCACAACUCGCACCGGGAGCGCGGCGCGUCCACGUCCGUAAAACACCCAACUUCUGAAAUGUUGACCUCGGAUCAGGUAGGAAUACCCGCUGAACUUAAGCAU